AGGAGAAAGACAGCUGCUUGUGGAGCAUUGCAUGGCUAUGGAGAGCACAGGCUGGGUCCAGGGCAGAAAGAAAAAGCUUUUGGCUAUUAGGCAGCAUAGGUCCUGAUGUGGUUAGAUUAAUGGCCUGAGCUGGCCUCCCUGUCAUCAACCCAGUACUCAGGUCAGAAGCCUAUGAAGAUGACAGGCUUAGGAAGUGGCACAUUAGUUGUGUUAAAACACAGAUUUCCCUGACGUUCUCCUCGUUGGCCAGACUUAAUUUUGUUGUACUGCUGACACAGAAAUGAGCCGAGAGGUACGCUGGUGGAUGUGAACUCAGAGACCACUGCUUUGUUAAGCAUUUCAGCUCAGCGGCAACUGAAAAAUCAGAAUUCCAUGGCUCAGGCAUUAAGGUAUCUAUCAUCCCCAGGUGAAUCUGCAGAGCAGAUGGACACUACCAUAACAAAAUGAAGAGUACAGCUUCUACGAAGUAGUAACCCAGAGAAGGUUUUCUGUUGGAUUGUGGGAGGACUUUACCAGGUCUAACAAAUUCUAUAUUCCAGGUGAUACUUCAUGCAAGCUUUCUUCAAGUCACUCUGAAGGAAUAUGGCAUCGUAAAUGAAAAGGAAGUGAGAAGAUAAGAAGUUUUAAAUUGCAGACCCCUAGACCAGAUGCCAACUGGGGAGCUACGUCCUACACCUGUGGACACCUAUUGCCUCCUGCAAGCCAGCAAGAUCAAGAAAAGAAUGCUUUCUUCAAAUCCCCUGCUUUUGUAGAGCAGUCAACUUCCACGACCAGGAUUGGGUCUUCUGUAGCAGAACAAGCUACAGAAUUGAAUUAUUAUUUUAAAAGUCAACAAGGGCUUUAAAAAAUACUAGAGGAUACGAAUCCCUUAUACUGGGAUAACAAUAAUACGAAGUUUGAUCAUAGAAAUAGGUAUUUAGUUCCUAGUUUCUUGUUUAAUAUUUCCUUACAUCAGACCAUCUCUAGAAUUUCAUACAGAAGGUACUGAAUGCAAUAUAUGAAGUGGAUAAGACACUUCUAUACUGAGGAGAAGGUAUGAGUCAUAAAUAACAUAUUCCACUGUGAAAGACCUAAUGCCUUUCUGGUAAUGACAUGCUAUGUGCUCUAUCAUCUCUUUGGAUACUUUUCUUUGAGAAAGAACUUCUUAACUACUUAGAUACACAUUGCUUUACUUUAUAUUUUUUAGUUGGCAAGAUGCAGUACUGCACUAUAAAAGAUAACACUCAAAUAAGUCAAAGAAGGCUGCAUUACUUGUGAGCGGACAACCUGCCAGAGCAUUAGAAGUCACAAACUACAAAAAUGUCAACAGCAAUGAUGUUAAUGAAAUAAAUUUUCAACUAUAGGAGAGGGCAGGACAGAAUACUCCUUGUAGACACUGUUCAGAACAACAGUGUGAAGGAAAAAAAAAAAGCAUUUAUCCAAACUGACAGGAGAACAGUCUGCAAUAUCCACGAAAAUGUUAAAGCACAACUUUAUCCUUGAUUGUCUCAGUUUGCUGAACAACUUCUUCCUAGUACUCUUCUUCUCCUGUGGUUGCUUCUGAAUGAAAUGGUUGAAGUGUCUUUUGAAUAAAAAUUUUAU